GCACUCCCGGCCCCGCCGCCACCGCGGCCGCCGCUGCUCCGCCAGCCCCAGAGGCAACCCACAAGUGAAGUGAAAUUAAUCAGCAGUAUCCCCCCAUCCCUCGACGUGUGAGGAUUACGUUCUCCCUGGGUACGUGAAGAGAACUGAAGCAGGAAAUUGAUGUCCUGAAGAAGUUAUCUGAAGAAGGACAUAACAGAAUCAUUGGAGCUGGGAAUGAUUUCCACUUCUGUCAGUACCUGGCUGAAUCAUUUAAAUGCUUAGCCCAGAUUUUAUGCCUAAAAGUGGCCAUUAAUUAGAAAAAUCAAUGUUACUACAAACUCAGGUGAAUAACUAAUGCCUGGUAUAGAUCUGCUAAAGUAAUUUCAACCAGAGAUUUGUGUUGGUGUAUCAGUAAGUGAAUUAAACCAGAAGCCAAAGCAAAGUUGGUCUUCAGAGGGACUUAAUGAGUUCAAGAUUUUUCUUUCGAAUUCAGAGGUAUGCCAGGGAUUUUUUUUCAAAUAUUGGUAAGAAAGCUUCUGUGAGUGAGAUGAGAAACUUAUACUGACCAGGUUGAAUGACUUCUGAGUUUCUUGCAUAUCUUCAGCUUUAUAAAGGUGCUGGUAUUUCUGAAUAUAAAUGCUCCUAAAUGCUUGGUAUGUCUUAAAAGAUAUUUGUGUUACAGAAUGAGAGACAUUAAAAUAGAACCCUUUUAUGGGUUGAUUUGUUGGUUAUUAAUGAAAAUUCCCAAAAAGAUAUUGGUUAACAUAGCAAUUAGCAGAUAGUUUCAAACCCUUAGAUAGUUAAAAUAACUGAAAAGCAAAUGAAAUCUAUGGUAUCUAUAUAUUGAAGUAACCUUGUAAUGUUUUUACACUUCAACAAUAAGGUCUUUGAACUUGUAAUAAGAAUUGGUGUGGCUGACUGCAUACUGUCAGUACUCAGGGCUACUAAACCUUAUAUCUCUGCCCUAGUAAAGUAUCCACUCCUAAAAGUUACAUGUUGAGGAAUUUGAUUCAUCCAGGGGUAGUGAGAUGAUAUGGGUUCAUGCUAAUCAAAUUGCAGGAUACUAUUUUUAUAUAUCAGAAAAUAAAUUGUUUUUAUUUAUAUAUAAGGUAUUUCUGGGCCAAGUAGAGACUAUCCACCCUUUCAUUGUUGAUGUUCUCUCAAUCUAAGAUACAAAUGUCAAAUAAUAAUAAGAUACUACUAAUCCUUUGUAUUAAUAUAGGUAUAAAAAUAGUGGACAAAAUGUGAGAGUGAGAAAGUAACAAUAUGUAUUCUUAAUCCACCAGAAUCAAAGAGAUUUUAUCCCAUAAAAGAAAUCAAGGUUCUGUUGCUGGGCAGCUGCAUCUGGGGAUGUCUCUCCCUGUGCACUGGGUGAAGCACUAGGAGAA